rnacentral:lncRNA from 10 species
GUGGUGUGAUCUUGGCUUAUUGCAACCUCUGCCUCCCGGGUUCAAGCUAUUCUCCUGCCUCAGCCUCCCAAGUAGCUGGGAUUACAGGCGCCCACCACCACGCCCAGCUAAUUUUUUGUAUUUUUAGUAGAGACGGAGUUUCGUCAUGUUGUCCAGGCUGGUCUCGAACUCCUGACCUCAGGUGAUCCACUCGUCUCGGCCUCCCAAAAUGCUGGGAUUAUAGGCGUGAGCCAUUGCACCCAACCCAUCCAGUCUUUGCAGUCAGCUUCUGCCUUUGCCAAACCUUCCUGGAGUGGAGAGGGGACUAUACCCCAUGACUGCCCAUUGGGCAGAUCCUCCUCCUCCUCGUCCAUUAGGCCCCUCAUGAGUAGAGGCCACAGUGAAGUGCAUCCGUAGUCUAUCCAUAGCCUGUGAGUUGUUGUCCCUGGAAAGUUCCACUCACUUGAAGAAAAAAAAUAGAACCUUCUUCAGGCUCCACCUCUGGAAGUGGGAAGUCCUUAACCAAACUAAACACCUUCACAAGUCCUUCUGUAAGCCCAAGGGGAAAACAAACCAAAACACAAACACUCCGCAGUGGCCUGGACUGCAGUGGCAUUCGGCUGAAUGUCUCUGAGGGCACUGUGAGGACAGGGCCCUGGUUAGACACGGGGGACCCCCCUUCUUUCUCCAAAGGCAAAGUACAGGCUGCUGUGGGGCCUUCAGAUCUGCUGCUAUUUCAGAGCAUAACGCUGCCUUGUCCCUCAGGACCUUUGGAAACUAUUCAGUAUUAUAUAGGUGACAUAUCUUUGUUUUGUGGUGGAAUUCAUAUAGAAGAAAAUGAACCAUUUUAGAGUGAACAAUUCAGUGGCAUUUAUUACCUUCACGAUGUUGUAUAAUACAACUACCACCUCUGUCUAGUUGCAAAAUAUUUUCAUCACCCAGAAAGAAAACCCCAAACCCAUUAAGCUACUACUCCCCAGUCCUCCCUCCCCAACCCCUGACAACCACCAAUCUGCUUUCUGUCUCUAUGGAUUUAUAUUUAGGUAGUAUUUCUGAGAAUCCCAGUGACUCUAUUUUCUGAACUAAAAAAGAAUCAUGAAACAUUAGCACA